UGUCCAGUUACUCCUAUCCCUACCUCCCUGUGGUGCCGCCUGGGGUACGAGUAACCAUAGGGAUCGGGUAACCAACUCUGACAGGGAAGG
rnacentral:ribozyme from 1 species